rnacentral:rRNA from 1 species
UGGCCGAGUGAUUUGUCUGGCUAAUACCGUUGACGAACGAGACAUUGACCUGCUAACUAGCGUCACACUGCUGCUGUAGUGUGAAAGACUUCCUAGAGGAACUUUGUGUGCCCAGCAUGAGGAACUUUGAGGCAAUAGCA